AUAAUUUUUCGAUAGUA
rnacentral:tRNA from 1 species